UUAAAAAAUAAAAUUUAAAUAUAUGAGUAGUAAUAGUUAUUUUCUUAAAACUUAAAAAAUUUGGCGGUAUUUUAAUCUAUUCAGAGGAACCUGUUUUAUAAUUGAUAAUCCACAUUGAAUCUUACUUAAAUUUGUUUAAUUUGUAUAUCGUUGUCAAAAAAAUGUCUUAAAAAAGGAAUAAUUUUUUAAUAUUAAAAUUUUAAUGUAUGUCAAAUCAAGGUGCAGUUUAUAUUUAAGUAAAAAUGGGUUACAAUAAAUAUUAUUUAUUAUGAAUUAAAAUUUUAAAUAUUUUUAUGAAAGAGGAUUUGAUAGUAAAUUUUUAAAGAUAAAAAAAUUGAUUUUAGUUCUAAAAUAUGU
rnacentral:rRNA from 1 species